AACGAACGCUGGCGGCAUGCCUAACACAUGCAAGUCGAACGAGACCUUCGGGUCUAGUGGCGCACGGGUGCGUAACGCGUGGGAACCUGCCUUUAGGUUCGGAAUAACUCAGAGAAAUUUGAGCUAAUACCGGAUGAUGUCUUCGGACCAAAGAUUUAUCGCCUUUCGAUGGGCCCGCGUUGGAUUAGCUUGUUGGUGGGGUAAAGGCCUACCAAGGCGACGAUCCAUAGCUGGUCUGAGAGGAUGAUCAGCCACACUGGGACUGAGACACGGCCCAGACUCCUACGGGAGGCAGCAGUUAAGAAUAUUGGACAAUGGGCGAAAGCCUGAUCCAGCAAUGCCGCGUGAGUGAUGAAGGCCUUAGGGUUGUAAAGCUCUUUUACCCGAGAUGAUAAUGACAGUAGCGGGAGAAUAAGCUCCGGCUAACUCCGUG
rnacentral:rRNA from 1 species